rnacentral:rRNA from 1 species
GAUGAACGCUAGCGGCAGGCUUAAUACAUGCAAGUCGAGGGGCAGCAUGGGUGUAGCAAUACAUUUGAUGGCGACCGGCAAACGGGUGCGGAACACGUACACAACCUUCCUAUAAGUGGGGAAUAGCCCAGAGAAAUUUGGAUUGAUACCCCGUAACCUAAUGAUGUGGCAUCACAUUAUUAUUAUAGCUUCGGCGCUUAUUGAUGGGCGUGCGGCUGAUUAGAUAGUUGGCGGGGUAACGGCCCACCAAGUCUACGAUCAGUAGCUGAUGUGAGAGCAUGAUCAGCCACACGGGCACUGAGACACGGGCCCGGCUCCUACGGGAGGCAGCAGCAAGGAAUAUUGGUCAAUGGACGCAAGUCUGAACCAGCCAUGCCGCGUGAAGGAUUAAGGUCCUCUGGAUUGUAAACUUCUUUUAUCUGGGACGAAAAAAGGCGAUUCUUCGUCACUUGACGGUACCAGAUGAAUAAGCACCGGCUAACUCCGUGCCAGCCGCCGCAGUAACAC